CAGAUAAUAGUUUAAUUCAAAACACCGGCUUUGGGUGCCAAAAAUCACUUUAUGUGUUAUCUGA
rnacentral:tRNA from 1 species